UCUUUGGUAGCUCAGUUGGUAAAGAGUCUGCCUGCAAUGCAGGAGACCCAGGUUCAAUUCCUGGGUUGGGAA
rnacentral:tRNA from 1 species